rfam:Lampropedia sp. CT6, whole genome shotgun sequence.
UGCGUAUUUCGCCCAGGCGGAGCACGACCGCCGCUUCAAGCCAUGAUCGGGUUUGUCGCCAACCAUCGCGACGCCUACGGAGUCGAGCCGAUCUGCCGGGGACUGGAGAUCGCUCCG